rnacentral:rRNA from 2 species
UACGAAGGGUGCAAGCGUUGUUCGGAUUUAUUGGGCGUAAAGAGCACGUAGGCGGGUCUGAAAGUCAGGUGUGAAAUCUUGGGGCUUAACCCCGAAACUGCGCCUGAAACUCCAGAUCUAGAAUAUCGGAGGGGAAAGUGGAAUUUCGCAUGUAGGGGUAAAAUCCGUAGAGAUGCGAAGGAACACCAGAGGCGAAGGCGACUUUCUGGACGAUUAUUGACGCUGAGGUGCGAAAGCGUGGGGAGCAAACAGG